UACGGGGGUGGCGAGCGUUACUCGGAUUUAUUGGGUGUAAAGGACAGGUAGGCGACCUGCCAAGUUAGAAGUGAAAUCCUAAGGCUUAACCUUAGAACUGCUUCUAAAACUGGCGGGAUUGAGGCUGGGAGAGGAGAGCGGAAUUCCCGGUGUAAGGGUGAAAUCUGUAGAUAUCGGGAGGAACACCAGUGGCGAAAGCGGCUCUCUGGCCUAGAUCUGACGCUAAGCUGUGAAAGCUCGGGGAG
rnacentral:rRNA from 1 species